CAUGGCAACCAUACAACGCACCUGAGUUGGAUGGGAUGAUCUUUAGCUCAGUAUGAAACAUCGACGAGGAAAUCAAUAGGAUGCAAUGUCCUAUGAUAUGUUUCUAGUGUGUUGAGUGGCACCUACCGCACAGGGUUGAGAAGCAGUUUGGUAGGAACCAGAUAUGGCUAGUUGAAGAUAUUCCAACUUCUAGAGAGCUGCACAAGGUCUUCUAGGGGCAAAGGUGUGGGAAAUGAGAGACGAAAGGAUGGAGGGAAGUUACCUCCAAUGUGUUUCGAAGGCCCUCUUGGUCCAGAUUUUUUUUGAAGAGGCAAUUUUUUGAAGAGGUGGUUUUUAACUUUCCACUUAGGUCUUACGAUAACAGGAGAGAAGAUUGGCCGAAGUGCAUGCAUGGUGAGGAUUGCUUGGUGCAGAUGUUCGUCGAGGGGGGAUUGAUGGAGGCCGGUGGGUCUUUAGAUGUUCUUAUGCACAUGUAAAUAUUAAUUCUAAUCCUUUGUUCUAUAUGAUUUUGUUGUUGAGUGAAACUAACUAUAAGCAUUUAUACAACAUUCAUUGGUCAAGGAGAAUUAUGGGUUCACUCGUUGGGUAGAUCCUCGUCCAAUUUUUUCGCAUGCAGAAUACAUAUCCUACCUACAGAAUAGGAUAUUUGAUCUAGAGAGGGAAGUAAUCAACAUAAAUGAGGACGAAGACAUAGACAACAACAAUGGAGGUGGUUCACAGGUGCAUGUAUGCUCAGAUCCAUAUUGCUGCUGCCCUUGUCACAACAAGAAUGUUGGUCCUUCAACUUCUCUGCCGCAACCAUAGCAGGCAACAAAAUGGGAGGAUACUAUGGAGAAGGGUCAACACAAUUUGGAAUUUGGGAGCACUACUAGAAAACUCUUUUGUAUCAAUUGCUUCAAGCUUGUUGAUUUUCUUUAUUAAUUGCCUUAAGUCGUCUUCA